GAGUUUGAUCCUGGCUCAGGAUGAACGCUGGCGGCGUGCUUAACACAUGCAAGUCGAACGGAGUACCCCUGAAGGAGUUUUCGGACAACUGAUGGGACUACUUAGUGGCGGACGGGUGAGUAACGCGUGAGUAACCUGCCUUGGAGUGGGGAAUAACAGCUGGAAACAGCUGCUAAUACCGCAUAAUAUGUCUGUGUCGCAUGGCACUGGACAUCAAAGAUUUAUCGCUCUGAGAUGGACUCGCGUCUGAUUAGCUAGUUGGCGGGGUAACGGCCACCAAGGCGACGAUCAGUAGCCGGACUGAGAGGUUGGCCGGCCACAUUGGGACUGAGACACGGCCCAGACUCCUACGGGAGGCAGCAGUGGGGAAUAUUGGGCAAUGGGCGCAAGCCUGACCCAGCAACGCCGCGUGAAGGAAGAAGGCUUUCGGGUUGUAAACUUCUUUUCUCAGGGACGAAGCAAGUGACGGUACCUGAGGAAUAAGCCACGGCUAACU
rnacentral:rRNA from 1 species